rnacentral:rRNA from 1 species
UACGUAGGGUGCAAGCGUUGUCCGGAAUUACCGGGCGUAAAGAGCUCGUAGGUGGUUUGUCACGUCGUCUGUGAAAUUCCACAGCUUAACUGUGGGCGUGCAGGCGAUACGGGCUGACUUGAGUACUGUAGGGGUAACUGGAAUUCCUGGUGUAGCGGUGAAAUGCGCAGAUAUCAGGAGGAACACCGAUGGCGAAGGCAGGUUACUGGGCAGUCACUGACGCUGAGGAGCGAAAGCAU